AUACUUACCUGGCAAGGGAGACACCACAGUCACAAAGGUGGUUUUCCCAGGGCAAGGCUGGUCCAUUGCACUGGGAACCUGCUGACCCCUGUGAUUUCCCCACAUGAGGGAAACCUGGCUGCAUAAUUUGUGUUGGCAGGGGCCGUGCCCACACUUUCCCCCC
rnacentral:snRNA from 1 species